rnacentral:lncRNA from 1 species
UUGUAUGGUCUUGCAGUGUUUCCUCUAUAUUACUAUCCUUGUGUCCCACUAUCUUUAUGCACGUGGUUUUGGUGUCAUAUCCUAUUACAUGAUCUUGUGGUGUUUCUUUUAUAUUACCGUCCUUGUAUCAGCACUUUCGGUUGUUUUAAUUCUACUUUUGCAUCCACUGUUAUGUAUCAUGUAAAUUUUAUAUAAUCUACUCUUAUAUAACUGCUUUCAUUUGGGUAUCGUGGUAUCUCAUGACCAUUACAAUCACGUUGCUUUAGGGAAAAAAGAAGUCGACCUCAAGGUAUCUCACUUCCUAAAUAAU